AUUGAACGCUGGCGGCAGGCCUAACACAUGCAAGUCGAACGAGUGGCGGACGGGAGAGUAAUGUCUGGGAAACUGCCUUAUGGAGGGGGCAAACUCCUGAAAACGGUAGCUAAUACCGCAUAACAUCAGAUGUGCCCAGGUUGGAUUAGAUUGUUGGUGGGGGAACGGCUCACCAAGGCAACGCUCCCUAGCUGGUCUGAGAGGAUGACCGGCCACACGGGACCGGAGACACGGUCCAGAUUCCUACGGGAGGCAGCAGUGGGGAAUAUUGCACAAUGGGCGCAAGCCUGAUGCAGCCAUGCCGCGUGUAUGAAGAAGGCCUUCGGGUUGUAAAGUACUUUCAGCGGGGAGGCGUUACCCACAGAAGAAGCACCGGCUAACUCCGUGCCAGCAGCCGCGGUAAUAC
rnacentral:rRNA from 1 species